AUUACAUGCGGUAUCAGUAAUAUAAGAAUGACGUAAAUACGAAAGCUCACCUGACAGGAACAGACUGUAGCAGAGAAGAUCUUGCUGUCUGCAGUUGAUCAGAUGAAGGAAAUGACCCGCCAGGUUCAGUCUGAGAUGAAGGGUGUACUGACCCAGAUGUAUGAAGAUGGGAUGGACCUUCGGCUCAUUUGCGGGUGCAGAGCCUUUCUCCAGAGAUACUGUGAAUGUCUUACUGCAGCCUAGCAGAUUAAAGAGAGAGAUUUACGUUUGAACUUAUUUCACAUCUAUGUUAGCGGACCGGUUGGCUGUAGCACACACACAUGGUUCCUGUUCAAGACAUUCAGUGAAUCAAAACACUUACUUACAUGAAAGGAAUCAGACUUGACACACACAAAAUUAGAGCAGAAAGAUAUAAAUGCAGAGAGUCACUGGAGAUCAGAAGAAUCAUGUCUGCAUGUGCGGUAAGAAAUCAACAGCAGAUGAUUUCAGAAACGUUUUUUGUUUUAAAGCAUCAGUUUGAUUGGGUGACAUUGUUUAUUAGUGAAUACUGAAAAAAAUGAACUUACUCUCUGUCCCAUGAUAAGUAAAAAAGUAAACAAAACAUAUAAGUAAAUAUGGAGCAAGUGUUUCUUUUCAACAAUAUUUUGUGUUGCUAUAU